UACGUAGGGCGCAAGCGUUGUCCGGAAUUAUUGGGCGUAAAGAGCUCGUAGGCGGCUUGUCACGUCGGGUGUGAAAGCCCGGGGCUUAACCCCGGGUCUGCAUCCGAUACGGGCAGGCUAGAGUGUGGUAGGGGAGAUCGGAAUUCCGGGUGUAGUGGUGAAAUGCGUAGAGAUCCGGAGGAACACCAGUGGCGAAGGCGACACGCUGGGCCGUACCUGACACUGAGGCGCGAUAGCAUGGGGAGCAAACAGG
rnacentral:rRNA from 1 species